UGAAAAUAUUCUUGGAGCAUUAAGCUCAAUUAUUAUGCUUAUGAGUACUGAAACAUUAAAUAGAGAUUGUAUAGUAAUUUUGACAACAAAUACUGAGCUUGUAUAAUAAAUGUUUAUCAAUUGGUAUGUCUUGAUAUUGGGUUUCACAGUACUUGGCAAGGUUUUAUCUGCCAUAUCAGAAAUUAUGCUAGAACCACUAAUAGAUAUAACAUGAAAUGGUUAUUUUAAUGUCAGAUUAUGAUAUUCCAAUGGCUAUUAAAAAUCAUUCCAAAGUUUUAGGAUGUUAUACUUAUUAAGGUAAACAUUUUGGUGACAAAAUACGUGAACUGAUAUUAAGAGAUCUUUGAUCUUAUUCAGAGCAAGGAAGAAUGGGUGCUUUAUUAAUACUAUAAAUGCUUCUAAUCAGAGUAUUAAAGUUAAAUCUUCAGAAAUUAUUCUAAUUUUAUAAGAUCUGCUGAAAAUCAAUAGCUCAUUUCUGAUGAAGAACUUAUUAGUAAAAACUAAAAGCUUUUAUAUGCUUUGCAUAUAAAGGACAUUAAACUGAAAAAGAUGAUUAUUUUAUUGAGUUUUUGAUUAAAAAUAUUUGUUAUUAUGGUCUAUCA